CUCGAGGAGAGACACUCUGUGGCUACAUGUCAUAAUUCCCCUUCCUAACCUGGCUGCUAUACAGAUGGAGGCAAUUGGUGGAGAAAAAGCUCCUUACUCCCUCAAGCUUGACUGUCUAAAUAGGAUGAAAUUUCAGGAGCCCACUAGAGCCUAGCAGAGAAGGACUGAGCAUUUGGAUUGCACAGGAAAUUGUCUGAGCACAGUAAGUAGCCUUGUUGG
rnacentral:lncRNA from 1 species